UGUUUAUCACUGUCUUCAAUGCUACAAUACCACCCGUUCAAUGAAAGCAUCUGGCACAUAAACAGCAAACCCAAGUGAACAGACAAGCGAAUAUAUAC